UACGGAGGGUGCGAGCGUUGUCCGGAAUCACUGGGCGUAAAGGGCGCGUAGGCGGCUUUUUAAGCGUGCGGUGAAAGCCCGGGGCUCAACCCCGGGUCGGCCGUGCGAACUGGAAAGCUCGAGCCCACUAGAGGCAGGCGGAAUUCCGGGUGUAGCGGUGGAAUGCGUAGAGAUCCGGAAGAACACCGGUGGCGAAGGCGGCCUGCUGGGGUGGAGCUGACGCUGAGGCGCGACAGCGUGGGGAGCAAACAGGAUUAGAUACCCUGGUAGUCCACGCCGUAAACGAUGGGCACUAGGUGCUCGGGGGAGCGACCCUCCGGGUGCCGGCGCUAACGCAUUAAGUGCCCCGCCUGGGGAGUACGGCCGCAAGGCUGAA
rnacentral:rRNA from 1 species